CAAUAGCGUAUAUUUGGAUUGUUGCGGUUAAAAGCUCGUAGUUGGAAUUCUGCCGAAGACGACCGGUCCGCCCUGUGGGUGAGCAUCUGGAUCGGCUUGGGUAUCUUCUUGGAGAACCGAGCUGCACUUGAUUGUGUGGAUCGGUAUCAAGGAGCUUGGGGAACUCGGUUACUUUAGCAUGGAAUAAUAAGAUAGGAUUUCGGUUCUAUUUUGUUGGUUUCUAGAAUUGGGGUAUUGAUUACUAGGGAUAUUUGGGGGCAUUCGUAUUUAAAAAGAUAGAGGUGAAAUUCUUGGAUUUGUUAAAUACGGACUACUGCGAAAGCAUUUGCCAAGGAUGUUUUCAUUGAUCAAGAACGAAAGUUAGGGGAUCGAAGACGAUCAGAUACCAU
rnacentral:rRNA from 1 species